GCUGGGUGUGGUGGCUAACACCUGUAAUCCCAGCACUUUGGGAGGCUGAGGUGGGCGGAUCACCUGAGGUCAGGAGUUCGAGACCAGCCUGACCAACAUGGUGAAACCCCGUCUCUA
rnacentral:SRP_RNA from 2 species